CUAACCAGGAUUUCCCUAGUAACGGCGAGCGAACCGGAAAGAGCCCAGCUUGAGAAUCGGAGUGCCCCGCACCCCGAGUUGUAGUCUGGAGAUUCGUCCUCUGCAGCGGRCCGRACCCAAGUUCCCUGGAAAGGGACGUCGGAGAGGGUGACAGCCCCGUCGAGUCCGGACCCUGCUGCUCCACGAGGCGAAGUCUGCGAGUCGAGCUGUUUGGGAAUGCAGCUCUAAGUGGGUGGUAAAUUCCAUCCAAGGCUAAAUAUUGGCAGGAGACCGAUAGCGAACAAGUACCGCGAGGGAAAGAUGAAAAGGACUUUGAAAAGAGAGUUAAAAAGUGCUUGAAAUUGCUGGGAGGGAAGCGAAUGGAAGCUGCGGGUGCGCCCCGGUUGGAUGUGGAACGGCUGCUGCUGGUCCGCCGCUCAACGCGGGGCGCUGGUCAGCGUGGGCCAUCGCGGCGGGACAAGAGCGGGAUGUAGCUUCCCGCCGAUGCCGUUGCGGUGGCCGAGGAACGAAGCGCGCGGGGCCCCCUCGGGGGCCCCGUGGGAUCCGUCCCAACUGCGCGCUCGGGACGCUGGCGUAUUGAGCUCUUCAUCCGACCCGUCUUGAAACACGGACCAAGGAGUCUAACAUGUAUGCGAGCCGGUGGGCGGCAAACCCAUUGAGGCGCAAGUAAACUGACAGGUGGGACCCCGGGCCCGGAGACGGGCGAGGGAGCACCAUCGACCGACCGUGAUCUUCUGUGAAAGGUUUGAGUGUGAGCAUACCUGUUGGGACCCGAAAGAUGGUGAACUAUGCCUGAGCAGGGCGAAGCCAGAGGAAACUCUGGUGGAGGCUCGUAGCGAUACUGACGUGCAAAUCGUUCGUCAGACUUGGGUAUAGGGGCGAAAGACUAAUCGAACCAUCUAGUAGCUGGUUCCCUCCGAAGUUUCCCUCAGGAUAGCUGGAGCUCGUGUAAGAGUUUUAUCAGGUAAAGCGAAUGAUUAGAGGCAUCGGGGGUGUAACACCCUCGACCUAUUCUCAAACUUUAAAUAGGUAAGCCGCCGGGGUUGCUUGGCUGAACCCCGGCACAGAAUGAGA
rnacentral:rRNA from 1 species